rnacentral:tRNA from 1 species
GACCGUGUAGCUCAGUUGGUUAGAGCAUGGUGCUAAUACUAUUCCAAGUGUAACGCCAAGGUCUUGGGUUCGACCCCCAACAUGGUCA